rnacentral:rRNA from 1 species
UACGAAGGGGGCUAGCGUUGCUCGGAAUUACUGGGCGUAAAGGGAGCGUAGGCGGACUGUUUAGUCAGAGGUGAAAGCCCAGGGCCUCAACCUUGGAAUUGCCUUUGAUACUGGCAGUCUUGAGUACGGAAGAGGUAUGUGGAACUCCGAGUGUAGAGGUGAAAUUCGUAGAUAAUUCGGAAGAACACCAGUGGCGAAGGCGACAUACUGGUCCGUUACUGACGCUGAGGCUCGAAAGCGUGGGGAAGCAAACAGGG